CUGAGGAUCGCCUCGGAGGCCGCGUCUCAGGCGCCCGCCCAGCAGAGCUCGCCUCCCCGCGCGGCCGCCGCUGUAGCCCGGAUGCUCCCGCCUCCCCGGCGCCCGCGCCCGUCCCUGGCGACCACGCCGGGGCCCGUGGUCCCCUUACCGCGCUCGCUCCCAGGACCUCGCCUGUGCUCGGUGAGCUUCCCUCUGCCUCUUUCUUCCUUUUGCUCCGGCCCCAGCGGCGCACCGCCCCUCGCUUCCUCACGCCUCUCACUGUUGGCGGCUUCUCCCGUUGCGGAGCACAGGCCCCGGACGCGCAGGCUCAGCGGCCAUGGCUCACAGGCCCAGCCGCUCCGCGGCAUGUGGAAUCUUCCCGGACCGGGGCACGAACCCGUGUCCCCUGCAUCGGCAGGCAGACUCUCAACCACUGUGCCAUCAGGGAAGCCCAGGAUAUCUGGUUGCAACAAUUUUCAUGUGAUCCAACAAAAAAAGACACCACAGUGCACUUCCAUAAUACAGUGACCUGAAUUUGCUGGGAGAGACUGUAGUCCAUCAGGGUGAUUUAUUUUUGCACGAUACAGGAGAUGGAUGUAUGCCUGACAAUGUGGUUCAAGUUCAAGGAGUUCACUGGCGGACGUUGUGAGCUAAACCAGGGCAAGAAGACAUAGCUGAAAACCAGUGGAGUUCUCAGUUCUUGGGAAAGGUAACCAAGAGUGUUUAUUGAAGCUCUGUCAGUUCUAGGGGAUGUAAAAGCAAUCCAGCUGGCUUAAAAAGCAAAAGAGAAAAAAAAGGCAAAAGAGGAUAAACUGUCAUAUAACUGGACUGUUCCUGGGGUAUCUCAUAGGACCAGAGGAGGAGCUGCAUGCACCAGUCCCUGUUCCCAGGACUGGGCACCACUGGAAUCAUCUGAUUCUCUCCAUCCAUUUCUCCAUCUCUGACCUCAUUUUGCAGACAGGCUUUCUCCACAGGGUCCUGGUAGAGAAGAUGGCUACUGGCAACCUAAAUGUCACAUCUUCCCAACUUAAAACUUCUCUUUCCCGUUAUCUAUAUGUCAGACUCAGAAAAGGUCUCUGGCCCUACUUGGGUCAUUGCCCACGCUCCUGGAUCACUCGUUAUGUCCAGGGAAAUGGAUACUAAGAUUGGCCAAGUCUGUGUUUUGGGUCCACCCCUGUCAUCGGAGUGAAGUUACACUUCCACAGAGUAGAGGUGUUUGGUCCAGGGUAGUGUCUCCAAGGUAACCUGCACAGCCAGGGAUGAAAGCCCUCACGAUCCAGCUCCUUCCAGCAGUCGGGUACCAGCUAAUACAGUCAAGAAGUGUCAGGACUAGAAGAAGAAACGUAGUAAUGUGGUCCCAGGACAGUGAUUCUAAUUACUUCCGCUACUAACAAACACAGGUCUGUCUGCAAGGGUCAAAUUCUAUUUUUCACUCUGGAGUUUCAAAUUAUCUAUAAAUGUAUCUCCUCUAGUGGUUGAACUGCCAAUAGGUUGUACAUGCCUUACCAAAUGCUGACUCGUAGGACUGUCUGUCGGACCACCAUCCCAGGUUAAUAAGAAUAAAGAAUGUGGCGCUUUUCUAGAGCGGUGCUCUUUGGAUAAAAAUUCUGGGAAAAGCACUUUGAGAACUGACUGUAUUUCUAAAGAUUUCUUAAUAAUGAUCAUUUCUCCCAGCAUGAGCAGGAAUAGAGAUCUGUGUUUCAGAAUAAAUGGAUUUUGUGUCCUAGCAACCUGGAAUUUUAAACUUUUUAUUAGUCUUCCCCUGCAGUUGGCACAUGAAAGGGGAAAAACACAAACAUCAUUAAAGAGAGAGUUUAUGUAUGAAGUGUGAGAUAUAAGAGCUCUUAAUUUUCUCUUGCAGCUGAGUAAAUCUUUGGAGUCUUGGCUGAAUUACAGGAAAUGAAAUGUACAAUUAAAUUGUGGCUUGACAAGUUUAUUUACCCAAGGGGGGUCUUAAUUAUUGUUGAUUUUUUUUGCUGUUUUAAUUAACUUCAUA